GACGAACGCUGACGGUGUGCUUUAGACAUGCAAGUCGAACGCGAAAGCCCUUCGGGUUAGUAGAGUGGCGAACGGGUGAGUAACACGUGGGCAAUCUACCCCUCGCAGGGGGACAACCGGAGGAAACCCCGGCUAAUACCCCGUACGCUUGUGGGAUCGCAUGAUCCCGCAAGGAAAGGUAGCUUCGGCCAUCCGGCGAGGGAUGAGCCCGCGGUGCAUUAGCUAGUUGGUGGGGUAACGGCCCACCAAGGCAACGAUGCAUAGCUGGUCUGAGAGGAUGAUCAGCCACACUGGGACUGAGACACGGCCCAGACUCCUACGGGAGGCAGCAGUCGGGAAUCUUGCGCAAUGGGCGAAAGCCUGACGCAGCAACACCGUGUGUGCGACGAAGGCCUACGGGUCGUAAAGCACUGUUGUUGGGGACGAAGGGCGAAGGGUU
rnacentral:rRNA from 1 species